GAUGAACGCUAGCGGCAGGCCUAACACAUGCAAGUCGAACGGUAACAGGUCUAGCUUGCUAGAUGCUGACGAGUGGCGGACGGGUGAGUAACGCGUGGGAAUCUGCCUUCUAGUGGGGGAUAGCCCGGAGAAAUCCGGAUUAAUACCGCAUACGCCUACGGGGAAAGCCGGGGAGUCUUCGGACCUGGCGCUAGUAGAUGAGCCCGCGUGAGAUUAGCUUGUUGGUGGGGUAAUGGCCUACCAAGGCAACGAUCUCUAGCUGGUCUGAGAGGACGAUCAGCCACACUGGGACUGAGACACGGCCCAGACUCCUACGGGAGGCAGCAGUGGGGAAUAUUGGACAAUGGGCGAAAGCCUGAUCCAGCAAUGCCGCGUGUGUGAAGAAGGCCUGAGGGUUGUAAAGCACUUUCAAUCGUGAAGAAAAGUUAGCAGGCUAAUACCCUGUGACCUUGACGUUAACGAUACAAGAAGCACCGGCUAACUCCGUGCCAG
rnacentral:rRNA from 1 species